UACGUAGGGUCCGAGCGUUGUCCGGAAUUAUUGGGCGUAAAGGGCUCGUAGGCGGUUUGUCGCGUCGGGGAGUGAAAAACUCAGGGCUCAACCCUGAGCGUGCUUCCGAUACGGGCAGACUAGAGUACUGCAGGGGAGACUGGAAUUCCUGGUGUAGCGGUGGAAUGCGCAGAUAUCAGGAGGAACACCAGUGGCGAAGGCGGCUCACUGGCCCGGUACUGACGCUGAGGUGCGAAAGCGUGGGGAGCAAACAGG
rnacentral:rRNA from 1 species